rnacentral:rRNA from 1 species
CCUACGGGAGGCUGCAGUGGGGGAUAUUGCACAAUGGGGGGAACCCUGAUGCAGCGACGCCGCGUGGGUGAAGAAGCGCCUCGGCGCGUAAAGCCCUGUCAGCAGGGGAGAAAAUGACGGUACCUGAAGAAGAAGCACCGGCUCACUCCGUGCCAGCAGCCGCGGUAAUACGGAGGGGGCAAGCGUUAUCCGGAUUUACGAGGUGUAAAGGGGGCGUAGUCGGCGGUGCAAGCCAGGAGUGAAAGCCCGGGGCCCAACUCCGGAACUGCUCUUGAAACUGCGUGGCUGGAGUGCAGGAGGGGCAGGCGGAAUGCAUGGUGUAGCGGUGAAAUGCGUAGAGAUCAUGAGGAACACCGAUGGCGAAGGCGGCCUGCUGGACUGCAACUGACGUUGAGGCCCGAAAGCGUGGGGAGCAAACAGGAUUAGAUACCCCUGUAGUC